UUCAGUCAGAGGCAAAAUAUUGACAUUCCCCAAGCUGAAAUAUGUUUUGAGUUAAGUGUUAUCAGUCAGUGAUAGGAGUGGCCUGUCUGUAAACAUAACUGCAUUGGCAGGAGGGUUAUAGAAUGCUUUCUUGCCAUAAUCUAGAAGUAUCUUUCAGACAAAACUCUGCUUGAAAUCAAUUGUGCACAAGAAGCUGCCUGCUGUGGCCACUCAGCGUGGACAAAAGGAAGAGACCUCUCCCUGUGAUCUUUCACCAGAACUGCUUCGUCUAAUGAGAGCAUGGCUUCAGUUUCUUUUCACAGCAAACAUAGGAUCAAUGCUCUGGACUUGACAGUGUCUGGAAGCGGCCAUGCAGGCACGUCCCAGUGAUCGCUGAUCCUGGAAUGGUUGCUCUGGGGAUGAUCUGGCUCCAGGACAAUUAUGCUGUGCUGCUUUCAAAGGACUCCACGUCUGAGAGCCGCAUUUGGCUACCUCCACUUUGUGGUCCUGUCGUCACCCAACGCACUCCUCAUGGCUUCCACGGAGGAGAAGGAAAGAGACCCUGCCAUUUGUGACAAAAUGCAGGAGCUAGAGGACUUACACUAGAAGAGACAAUAGAGAGGUUCUCUGAUCUCUGUAAUACAAAUUCACCUCAGAGGCAGAGACAGAGACAGAGACAGAUGGAAACCAUGGCUGUGGAAUAGAGGUGGUAUUGAGGAGGUGUCAGUCAAAGGUACAGCAUCUCAGACAGGAGGAGCAAGUUAUGGAGACCUGAACAGCAUGCUGAGGAGUUGACAGCAUUUGUCACACACUGAAAGUUGGAAAGAGAGGAAAUUUCCCAUGUUUUCACCCUGAAAAAGUGGCAAGCUUUAGUGGAUAGACAUGUUAAUCAAUAUAACUUAAUCUUUCCAAAAUGAAUCUCAUCACAAACAUCAUUUUUGUGCUCACAAAUAUAAGUGGAGCCAACUACAACAAAUGCUUCAACCUGGUGAACAGAAAGAAGAGAAGCCAUGGUGAGGCAAGAAAACAAAGUCUCCAGACCUUCAAUAUGGAACCACAAUACACUUUUAUUUUUCUCACAUCAUGUUAUGUACCAUCUUAUAUCACAUAUCCAUAUGUGGAACUUUUGUCAUUGUAUCUUAGCAAAGCUUUUAGGGAAGGCAAACGUGUCUGGAAACUGAGGCACAGUAGCUGCUCAUUUCCGUGCUGGAAGCACCCUCAUUGCCCAGUAUGCAGAUGUGCUGACACAGUGGCUGCCUGUGUGGCCACCUCACCCCACCAUCCACUCACCUGUCACAUUGGCUGAGUCUCAGAGGAGAACCAAAUAUGACUUUCCUCAGACAUCAUGCUGGACCUCAUGCAGCUGCUGUACAGAAAAGAGUAUGGCACAUGGCCUGACAGCUCCUUCUUCUGCCUCCCUGAACCAGCUGGGGCUGCAAAACCACCAUUCUCAGAAGAUAACACUUGCCUGAGCGUUUGCAGGAGUACCACUCUGUUCUUUGUGGGCUAGUGACUCAGCCAGACAGUCAUGUCCUACACACUGCUUCUUCUGUGCUAACAUGCUGAGUGUCUUGGAGAGUCAGGCCCACCAUGUUCACAUGGUCUUUCCUUCUAACAGAGUUCCCAUUAGAUCUUCCGGAGGGUACCAGUCAUGACAUUGUGAGAUUGGACCCUGGGAAGGUGUUUUCACAACAGAAAAAGAGCAUAUCCUGCUGAAAAUGUACCUACUGAGAUGAUGCAAUUUCAUCUGUAAAAAGAACCUUAUUCAGAAAUCGUCAGUGACAUGAUACAGCUAAUUAAGGCAUGCAUGGUGCUAGCAGUUUCAUUAGAGGGGAUAAUAUUGCACAAGAAAAAUAAGAAAUCAUUAUGAUGGAUGUCCCAACAUUACAUUACAUGUUAAUGAAGUGUAAAUGAUCUAAUUAUUUUUGAAAGAACACAGAUUCGAUUAAACUGUCG
ensembl:lncRNA